GGAAGUAAAAGUCGUAACGAGGUCUCCGUAGGUGAACCUGCGGAGGGAUCAUUACAGAGUUCAUGCCCUACCGGGUAGAUCUCCCACCCUAUGUUAUUAUUACUUUGUUGCUUUGGCGGGCCGUUAGGCUCCGGCCCGACUACCGGCCCCGGCUGGUAAGCGCCCGCCAGAGGACCCAAAACCCUGAAUAUUAGUGUCGUCUGAGUACUAUAUAAUAGUUAAAACUUUCAACAACGGAUCUCUUGGUUCUG
rnacentral:misc_RNA from 1 species